GGGGAUUUAGCUCAACAGCAUAAGCACCUGCCUUGUAAGCAGGAAGUCGUGGGUUCAACCCCCGGUACUCA
rfam:Cavia porcellus supercont2_49 genomic scaffold, whole genome shotgun sequence.